rnacentral:rRNA from 1 species
AGUGAACGCUGGCGGUAGGCCUAACACAUGCAAGUCGAACGGCAGCACAGUAAGAGCUUGCUCUUACGGGUGGCGAGUGGCGGACGUGUGAGGAAUACAUCGGAAUCUACUUUUUCGUGGGGGAUAACGUAGGGAAACUUACGCUAAUACCGCAUACCACCUACGGGUGAAAGCAGGGGAUCUUCGGACCUUGCGCGAUUGAAUGAGCCGAUGUCGGAUUAGCUAGUUGGCGGGGUAAAGGCCCACCAAGGCGACGAUCCGUAGCUGGUCUGAGAGGAUGAUCAGCCACACUGGAACUGAGACACGGUCCAGACUCCUACGGGAGGCAGCAGUGGGGAAUAUUGGACAAUGGGCGCAAGCCUGCUCCAUCCAUACCGCGUGUGUGAAGAAGGCCUUCGGGUUGUAAAGCCCUUUUGUUGGGAAAGAAAAGCAGCAGGUUAAUACCCCGCUGUUCUGACGGUACCUAAAGAAUAAGCACCGGCUAACUUCGUG